rnacentral:rRNA from 1 species
GGGUACGGGMUAAMUAGAGUGCAGUAGGGGAGACUGGAAWUCCUGGUGUAGCGGUGGAAUGCGCAGAUAUCAGGAGGAACACCGACGGCGAAGGCAGGUCUCUGGGCUGUAACUGACGCUGAGAAGCGAAAGCAUGGGGAGCGAACAGGAUUAGAUACCCUGGUAGUCCAUGCCGUAAACGUUGGGCACUAGGUGUGGGGGACAUUCCACGUUUUCCGCGCCGUAGCUAACGCAUUAAGUGCCCCGCCUGGGGAGUACGGCCGCAAGGCUAAAACUCAAAGGAAUUGACGGGGGCCCGCACAAGCGGCGGAGCAUGCGGAUUAAUUCGACGCAACGCGAAGAACCUUACCAAGGCUUGACAUGC